UACGUAGGGGGCAAGCGUUGUCCGGAAUCAUUGGGCGUAAAGAGCGCGUAGGCGGCCCAGUAAGUCCGCUCUGAAAGUCAGGGGGCUCAACCCCUGAAUGCGGGUGGAUACUGCUGGGCUAGAGUCCGGAAGAGGUGAGUGGAAUUCCGGGUGUAGCGGUGGAAUGCGUAGAGAUCCGGAAGAACACCAGUGGCGAAGGCGGUCUGCUGGGCAGUGGGCUCGAAAGGGCCCUUCAACCGACACUGAGGCGCGACAGCGUGGGGAGCAAACAGG
rnacentral:rRNA from 1 species